rnacentral:rRNA from 1 species
UACGUAGGGUGCAAGCGUUGUCCGGAAUUAUUGGGCGUAAAGAGCUCGUAGGCGGUUUGUCGCGUCUGCUGUGAAAACGCGAGGCUCAACCUCGCGCCUGCAGUGGGUACGGGCAGACUAGAGUGCGGUAGGGGAGAUUGGAAUUCCUGGUGUAGCGGUGGAAUGCGCAGAUAUCAGGAGGAACACCGAUGGCGAAGGCAGAUCUCUGGGCCGUUACUGACGCUGAGGAGCGAAAGCAUGGGGAGCAAACAGG